rnacentral:tRNA from 1 species
GGGGUUGUGGCUCAGAGGUAAAGUGCUCACCUAGGAUGAGUGAGGCACUGGGUUCAAUCCUCAGCACCACA